rnacentral:rRNA from 1 species
AUCAUGGCUCAGAACGAACGCUGGCGGCAUGCCUAACACAUGCAAGUCGAACGCCUGUAGCAAUACAGGAGUGGCGCACGGGUGAGUAACGCGUGGGAACCUGCCUAGUGGUAAGGAAUAACCGCGGGAAACUGCGGCUAAUACCUUAUGAGCCCUACGGGGGAAAGAUUAUCGCCAUUAGAGGGGCCCGCGUCUGAUUAGCUAGUUGGUGAGGUAACGGCUCACCAAGGCGACGACCGGUAGCUGGUCUGAGAGGAUGAUCAGCCACACUGGGACUGAGACACGGCCCAGACUCCUACGGGAGGCAGCAGUGGGGAGUAUUGGACAAUGGGGGCAACCCUGAUCCAGCAAUGCCGCGUGAGUGAUGAAGGCCUUAGGGUUGUAAAGCUCUUUCGACGGGGAAGAUGAUGACGGUACCCGUAGAAGAAGCCCCGGCUAACUUCGUG